rnacentral:rRNA from 1 species
UACGAAGGGGGCUAGCGUUGCUCGGAAUCACUGGGCGUAAAGCGCACGUAGGCGGAUUGUUAAGUCAGGGGUGAAAUCCUGGAGCUCAACUCCAGAACUGCCUUUGAUACUGGCGAUCUUGAGUCCGGGAGAGGUGAGUGGAACUGCGAGUGUAGAGGUGAAAUUUCGUAGAUAUUCGCAAGAACACCAGUGGCGAAGGCGGCUCACUGGCCCGGUACUGACGCUGAGGUGCGAAAGCGUGGGGAGCAAACAGG